rnacentral:tRNA from 2 species
GCUCGCAUAGCUCAGUUGGUUAGAGCGCACCGUUCACAUCGGUGAGGUCCCAGGUUCGAGUCCUGGUGCGAGCACUA